rnacentral:rRNA from 1 species
GAUGAACGCUGGUGGCGUGCCUAAUACAUGCAAGUCGAGCGAACAGACGAGGAGCUUGCUCCUCUGACGUUAGCGGCGGACGGGUGAGUAACACGUGGAUAACCUACCUAUAAGACUGGGAUAACUUCGGGAAACCGGAGCUAAUACCGGAUAAUAUAUUGAACCGCAUGGUUCAAUAGUGAAAGACGGUUUUGCUGUCACUUAUAGAUGGAUCCGCGCCGCAUUAGCUAGUUGGUAAGGUAACGGCUUACCAAGGCAACGAUGCGUAGCCGACCUGAGAGGGUGAUCGGCCACACUGGAACUGAGACACGGUCCAGACUCCUACGGGAGGCAGCAGUAGGGAAUCUUCCGCAAUGGGCGAAAGCCUGACGGAGCAACACCGCGUGAAUGAUGAAGGUCUUCGGAUCGUAAAACUCUGUUAUUAGGGAAGAACAAAUGUGUAAGUAACUAUGCACGUCUUGACGGUACCUAAUCAGAAAGCCACGGCUAACUACGUG